CUUCUCCUGCAGCUGCUGCCUCCGACGGGGCAUCCUGAGCAGCCCAGGCCCUGCUCUGUCCUCAGGACUGUCGGUGUCCGUCGGUGGUUGCCCGCUCUCCUCAGGCCCUGCGGCUACCGGCUCAAUGCCUCAGGCAGCCACCAGCUCCUGCCGCUGCUCCUGGGGGUAUGGAGAAAUACAGCUCUGGUAGAUGCUCUCUACAGAAAACAGCUAUUCACUCGAAGCGUGCACUGGGCAUAGACUUAAGCAACAAGGAUUUUAUGAAGAAGCUGGACACAAACAACAGAACGGGAGCCUCCCAGGGUACUCCAAGACUGAAGCCUGCAUGUUAUUUGAUGCCUACAUAUUACUGGGUACCCUCCCACAUCACCUCUGGAGGAUUCCAUAUCAGUUCCUAAGAAUUAUGCUGCAGAAUAAAAGUUGGUCAUGACUGGCAUCCUGUCUCUAGUCAACAAGCAAUACUGGACACUUCAGAGAAAGAUGCAGGCUGUCCUUAUAGUGGACCUAAUUACGGCCCUGGGAGGUAUUUCUUUGGGAAUUGUAGUUGGUGAUCAUUUCAUGUAAAUGGCCUUAGUGCUUUUGUGAUUUAUGCAUUACUUAUUACUGUGUCUAGUGUUAAUUUUUUGUGGUAAGAUUUUUUUUCCUGCUAAAUACUACUGUUUCAGAGUACUGUAAGUGUUCAGUAUUUUGCUAACACACAUUAAAGACUGGUCGCACAGUGAGACAUGACUGUGCAUUUGCAGUGAGGUCUAGAAGCAUCCUACAGUAUUUAUUGUGACGUAUUUUAUCCCCUGAAUUUCAAAAUCAGCUCAUCAGUUUAAUGCUAAGCUCUUGUUAAGUCUGGCCUUAAAGAGCUAUUAUGAUCAUGUCUCAGUGUAACACAGAUCUGAA